rnacentral:tRNA from 1 species
ACCUGUUUAGCUCAACUGGUAGAGCGCUCCACUGGAAAUGGAGAGGUCCCUGUUUCGAUAACAUGACCAGGCG